UACAGAGGUCCCAAGCGUUGUUCGGAUUCACUGGGCGUAAAGGGUGCGUAGGCGGUCGGAUAAGUCUGAUGUGAAAUCUUCGAGCUCAACUCGGAAACUGCAUCGGAAACUAUUCGGCUAGAGGAUUGGAGGGGAGACUGGAAUUCUCGGUGUAGCAGUGAAAUGCGCAGAUAUCAGGAGGAACACCGGUGGCGAAGGCGGUUCUCUGGGCAUUACCUGACGCUGAGGAGCGAAAGUGUGGGGAGCGAACAGG
rnacentral:rRNA from 1 species